rnacentral:lncRNA from 1 species
AGGGCCACACCCAGGGCAUAUGGAGGUUCCCACACUAUGAGUCAAAUUGGAGCUGUAGCCACUGGCCUACGCCACAGCCACAGCCACACAGGAUCCGAGCCACGUAUGCAACUUACACCACAGCUCACAGCCACGCUGGAUCUUUAACCCACUGAGCAAGGCCAGGGAUGAAACCUGUGUCCUUACAGAUACUAAUCAGAUUAGUUUCUACUGGGCCACAACAGGAACUCCAGUAUACAGCAUAUUACAAAAGUUUUUUAAACUUCCUAAGUAAAUUUUUUAAACUUUGCGUUAAACAAAGUUGAAGUGGCCUCUUUACUGCCGAAUUUCUCAUCGCCUUCAACAUGCUUGUGUGCUUCUGUAUCUCCAAGAAAACAGCAGGCAAUGGCGCCCACAGCGUUUGUUGUCAAAACCCUCACCUCCACCACCACCAUCACCGCAUCUCACAGAAUAAUGCCGUGUGGACGCCAGGGUCUGGGUUCACUCCCCCAAAUGAUUUCACAUGCAGGCAUCUUGCUUUUUCAGCCAUUUGAAAAAUACUGAUUAAGUACUAAUUGUAAUUAACCUGAGGGGCACUCAUUACCACGAGCCUGAACAGUUCGAGCAAUUCUAAUUUGCAACAAGUUAUGCAUGUUUCUCUAAGAUGAGACUUCGUCUAUUAACAGCAGAAUGGUUGUUUUGGCAGCAAAACAUGAUUUAAGCAUUAAAAAAAAGCCACACUGACACAAUACCACAGUAUUUUAGGAUGGGCCUACACCCUUACCAUUUACAAUUUUAUUAAAGGCUAAUUUGGAACUUAGAUCACAGAGUUGUGACUGUAGAUUCUCUCCCUCCCACCACUAAUGAAAACCAUACUGAAACAUCACAGCUCACCUGGUAUUCAAAGUCACUAAUUACGUCGAGUUCUCUUUUCACAAAAAUCAUACUUCCUUCCUUUGUAAGCAAUUAGAGACUUUUAAGUAUCAAGUGCUCCUAAGUCAGAGAGGAUGGGGGAGGACCCGCAUGUUCAAUUUCUUGACCAAUUUCACCUCCACACCUAAAGGGAUUUCAGGACAAACAGAAUCAGGUGGAAGUCUACAAAAACACUGAUUAUGUCCUCAACAUGUUUUCUUUUAGCCAUCACUGGCAGCGGGAAUGUCUUUGGCCAUAAAAACCACAAGUCUGUAAAAUAACCAUGAUCAUUUUGCUAAGACAGUAAAAGCAAUGGUCUUUCUGUUUGUUCACUCAUAGAGAAUGACUGCUAAUAGUUGCAGCAAGUCCAUUUUAGGUAUAUGAUGUCUAUUGGAAUAUUGGCUGUUAUUUCACGAAUACACCCUUGGCACCAAGAACAGUAUCUGAUGGGUACUAAGCCUCCGAUGGACUUUCUGAUACAUGUGCAGGACUCUUACAUGAAAAACAACAUUUUUAUACCAAAUGAGAGUGUAUUUGUUGGAGAAAGAUCAGAAAAGAUAUAGAAGGAGUUCCCGUCGUGGUGCAGUGGUUAACGAAUCCGACUAGGAACCAUGAGGUUGCGAGUUUGGUCCCUGGCCUUGCUCAGUGGGUUAAGGACCCAGCGUUGCCGUGAGCUGUGGUGUAGCUUGCAGCAACGCCAGACCCUUAAUCCACUGAGCGAGGGCUGGGAUAGAAUCCAUGUCCUCAUGGAGACUAUGUUGGGUUUUUAACCCACUGACCCACGAUGGGAACCCCAAGACACUUAAUUUUUCAAUAAACAUGGAAUCAUACUCCAUGCUACAUUCUCCCUAGUGUUACUGGUACAACAUAACAUUCAGUGUCAUUAUGAAUGUCUAGGUAGGAAAUCAUUUUAUGAAAAAAUGAAAUUUAAGAAGUGGCUCCACUCUUGAAACUUCAAUUAUUCCUCCUCCCUUACCAUCUUCCCUUUGUCUGGAAAGAGAUACUCUUUUGGUCAAGUCUUCAUGCAUUCCCUAACAGUUUCUUUAGGAAAGGUUUCUGAAAGGACAUGCACAUGUAAAGCCUUGUAGUGCAUCUCCAAACUGCUCUUCUGAAAGGCUGAACUUCUCACACCACAACAAGCAGUUCAGGUGAUUCAUCUUCACAAUUGUAGGUAAAAGUCAGAAGCUAUGACUCAAGAACCACACCUUCAGAACCUCCUAUCUCAGCAUCAACAAAUGGCAAGCUUUAAAUAAUGGCAAUGACGUAUAUUACACGAGAUUUUUAAAAAUCUAACCUGCCCUUCGGAAAACCAACCAAAUGAUAGUACCAUAAAUCAAGGCAUAAAAGGCAAAAAAAAAAAAAAAAAAAAAAAAAAA